rnacentral:rRNA from 1 species
UACGUAGGGUGCAAGCGUUGUCCGGAAUUAUUGGGCGUAAAGAGCUCGUAGGCGGUUUGUCGCGUCGAAUGUGAAAUCCCGGGGCUCAACCCCGGGCCUGCAUUCGAUACGGGCAGACUAGAGUUCGGUAGGGGAGUCUGGAAUUCCUGGUGUAGCGGUGAAAUGCGCAGAUAUCAGGAAGAACACCCGUGGCGAAGGCGGCUCUCUGGGACGGUACUGACGCUGAGACGCGAAAGCGUGGGGAGCGAACAGG